GGACACCAGUAUGGUUGCUGGGGUGGACCCACCCCGUACAGUAACAUCUUGAGGUGGAGCCGGAGGACCUAUGAAAGACAAGAACACAUUAUGCCCCAUUUCUGGAUUUUAUUCAUACACUCUUCCCCUGGGUCCUGGAUACCCCUGAAAGAAUGGAGCUUAAUUUCUGUGAGCUUGCAUAAUGUAAGUUUAUUAUUACCCAGCGACUCCUCCCUGUGGAAAAUCUACGUGUUGGAUGUCACUGCAGAGCAAGGCAUGUGCUUAUGCUCUCAGAAGAAUUUUUAUUCUAUAUCGUGGUAUAACCUAUCCUAACAACAACAUAAAAGUGCCAGGUCUACCAAAUCUCCCUAAACCUGGUUCUAUAGCAGUGGCUGUAUGAAAACACAUUCUCUACUCCAGACCACACUUGAAUGUAUGCCACCUGGGACUUGCCAAGUUUCUCAUACAAUACAGAGUGCUAUUUCUGAAAUGUAAACAGCUUCUUAAAUGGAAAAUGAAGCAGACUUCAUCCAUUACAAAAAAUACUGUUCACACAAGACAGAUAUGACAAUGAGCAACUUUCCAGGUGGACAGCUUGAAUUCAGACUAGUAAUUAGCUCAC